rnacentral:tRNA from 1 species
GUCUUUGUGGUGUAACGGUUAGCAUGACGGUCUUCAAAACCGUAGGCCCGAGUUCAAUUCCCGGCUGAGACG